UUUUUUUUUUUUAAUGAUACUAUAAUAGAUGGGUACACAAUAUCAUAUAUGGGUCAAAAUCUAUAAAGCUUUAUAGCACAAAAAGUGAAAGUUACUUAUGAAAAAAUUUAAAACGUCUCCUUUAAGACAUGGAGAGGUUCUAGGAUGGAAAAUAGAUGGUGACAAAAUAAUUGACUAUUUCAAAUAUAUGAAGCAAUGUCACUGAAGGGGGUGGAAAGAAAAGGCGCUGACCUCUCAGUAACUCUGAAAAUGAGUGGAAUUAUAUGACUGAAGUCAAAGGAACUACACAUAAGCCCUGUGUUCUAGUUAAUAAGGUAGUUUCCCCUGAAGGAACAGGGUAACUUCUGAUACUACUAUCCAUGUCUAUAGAAAUUGAACAAUUAAGUAACUAGAUCCAGAAAGUGGGAGUGAAGUUUCUCACUAUUUGGAGUGGGAAUUUCCUGACAACUAAGAGGGAAAGUUUAGAAUGACUCAUAUGCUAAUGUCAUAGACUUGGGAAUAUGAGGAUGAACUCAUGCUUAGGUUAAUGUAGAUACAAAUACAUAAUAGAAAUAUCUAUACAAAUAGAAAGAUAAACAUGGGUUAGUGUAAACUUUACAUGUAUGUCUUUGUUACAUCAGCUGACUUGGGUUAGAAGCAAUGGCACUUUGGUAGACGUGAGCAUACCUGGUGACCAUAUAUUGGUUCCUCAUAUUAUUCCCAAAUUACACACACAGACAGACACACAUACACAGAGUUUUCAUAGAGCAUUCCUACCUCCAGGACUGAUGCAAGAAAUAUAAAAGAUGUACUUGGAGGUCUAGAGCAUCUAGUAGUGCCAAACUGUAAAGAUUUUCUCAGAAAAUAUGAAAACAAAAACCUAGAUUGAUGGGGGUAUGUCAAAGGAUCUGCUGAAAGAGCUCUCAAGCUCAAGCAAUGAGCCUUGACCAAGGCUCAAGCGAUUUGAGCAAUAAAGUAAUAUUUGAGAUAAAUCAAAUUUCCGAUGCAGAAUUAUAAAUAUUUUAUAUAGAUAUUCCAUGGGAGCAUAGUUCUCAUUUUUUACAUAUGGGUUAUACAAAGUAAAGAGAGAGAAAAAAGAGAAAGAGAAAGAUAGGAAGGAAGGGAGGGAGGAAGGGAGGAAGGGAGGAAGGGAGGAAGAGAGGAAGAGAGGAAGGGAGGAAGGAAACUGAAACUAUAGGGGUGAAUCCUGUGUAUAUACCCAGAAGUGGAAUUGCUGGAUAAUAUGGGAGAUUUAUUUUUAAUUUUUUAGGAACCUCCAUAUUAUUUUCUGUAGUGGUUCCAACUUAUAUCCCCAACAAAAAUAUAUAAAGGAUCCCUUUGACACUACAUCUUCUUAGCACCUCUUGUUGCUUGUUGAUAGAUGUUAUAACAGGCAUGAGGUGAUGUCUCAUUGUGGUUUUGAUUUGUAUUUCCCUGAUAAUUAGUGAUGUUGAGCAUUUUUUUUCAUGAGUUUGUUGGCCAUUUUGAUGUUCUCUUUGAAGAAAUACCUUCUGCCCAUGUUUUAAUUAGAUUGGGGUUGUUAUUAUUAUUGUUAUUAUUGAGUUGACUGAGUUCUUUAUAUAUUUUGAAUAUUAACCCCUUAUCCAAUAUAUGGUUAGCCCCAUUCUGUAGACUAUCUGUGACACAAUAAUUUACAAAAACAAAAACAAAACUUCUAUGAAUGAUUAAAUUAUGGGUGAGCAAAAAGGAAUGUUGAAAAUAGUUAUUUAGGUAAUAGAGAAUCAUCAUUUUAUGGUGAACAGAGAUGAAGCAUUUUUAAUUACUUUUUACUGAUACAUAGUGAACAAAAGACAAAACUUUAUUUAGUAGUUAUUCCUUUAAAAAAAUUAAAGCUUGAUAUAGGCUCACUAAAAAAAAUUUUUUUGACAAUAUUUAGAUUUGAGAUAUUGAUUUUGAGAUAUGAUAAGGAUCUCUGAUGAAAAUUCAAUAGUGACAAAUUUAUGAUACUUAAAAUACAGAGCAAAGAGUAAUAGGCUUCAGAAUUAGGUUGAAACAAAAAAAAUGUUCAUUAAAUUGCUUUAAGCUUAAUACUUUAUAUUAUAGCUAUGAUUAAAAAACAUUCAUAAGCCAAUAUAAGUUACUUGUGUUUUUUAUGCAGUUUGUUUACCAAAGUAAAAGAUAGAUAAUAUACAAGUGUACCAAAUAAUAAUCUAUAAAAAUAUUUAAUUAAAAGAAAACUUACCAUAUUUGGCAUAUAAAUUCUCAGUGAAUGUUUGUAGUGGGUUUUGUAUUGUUUUUCCAUACAUUAUAUCUACCUUUUCUUAAAUCUUCCUGCCUUGGCACCUGUAUUUCUUGUUAAACUUGAGAGUGACAAUGGUGUCUCAGGUCAUAAGAUAAUUUGGAGAAACCACUAGCCAUCUAGAACAAAAAUGUUUUUGAAAUAAAUACAUUUGUGAGGCGGAAUCAAGAUAAAUAUAAACGGCAAUUAUCUGAGAAAUAAUUAUAAUAAAUAUUAAUUCAUCAUCACUUCCAUGCUGCAGUGAAAAUUGUGUGGAACAUUAGGAAAUCAGUCAUAAUGAAAUAAAGUUGGUUUCAGUCUCCAAAAGCCAUGUGAUCCUGCACCACAAAAUAACACAGUUAUUAUAUAUGAAUAAUCCAGAUAAAUGAGUCAUUUGGGAAUGCCAAAAUUGGAUUCCGAAUGGUGAUAUGGCCAGCAGAAGAAGCAUUUGGAAAAAUGAGCUAAUCAGACUACAAGAUAUUUUGCUAUUGUCUGGCCACAAUCCUUCUCUCCUUUCUCAGAGAAUCAGGACUAAAUAUUAUUAAGAGUUCCUAAUAGCAUCUGGAUCUACUUUUUGGAAUAUAGAUAAUUAGAUCAUCCGUAAAUUAUCACAAAUAAGUCUUACCUUAUAAACCCAAUUAAAACUGACAGAUAAGUGUAAGUGUAGCCCCUAGAUUAUAAUUACGGAAAUAGAGCAUAAUUUUAUUUGUUCUAAGACCUGAUCAUUUACAUGCCUCAUGUAGAGAUCGUAGGGGUUGGGAAGAUAUCCCUUAGACUACAGACAUUUCUCAAUUAUAAAACUAUUUUCAUGAUUUUCAUUAAAAUAUCCUUUAAACCAAUACUAGUCCCUUAAAUAUCCUGCAUUAUUAAUAAAGUGUGUUUCUGUACCAUGCAUUUACAUGCGCAUGCCAGGAAAGGCUAUGUACCAAGAUAAAAAUAAAGCAUUUCUCUCCUACCAAAAUUUUAUGUCUAGAGACAUUUUAAUUCUUUUAAUCCUGUAAAUCCAACUUUGACCCUUUGUCCAUUAUUUUGUGUACAAAUCUGCAUUUCAUAGGCCAAAUAAAUGUUUCCCUUAAACUCCAAGAAAAAAAUGAGUUUAUAUGUCACUUAUAUUGAAUGAUGUAUUUUUAAACUAUGACACUUAAAUAAUUAUAAUAAUAAUAAUAAUAAUAUAAUAAAAAAACAGAAAUCAAUUGUGUAGACAGCUUAUAUCCAAUCAGCAUAUCAGGAGGAAUUGAGAGACAGGAGUAAAUCCUGAGUGCCUAAGAAGGACUGAGAUGAUCUGUGCUCAGGUAGCAUUAAUCUACACUGUUCAAUCAGUAAACAUCUAACUAUUCUGAAAAAAAUCUUAAAGGUUACAUGUUAUUCUGGCCCUGCUGCCUGGCAAGAGUUGGAAUAGAGUCCAGGGAAAAAGAUUUCUCUCUGAUCCUUCACCAUUAGGUAACUAAAACUUGGUAAGAAUUGAGGUCUCUUAUCUUCUAUUUCAGUUUUCACUCCAUUUAUAAUUUAACUUAAAAAUACUAAUUAAAAUUAGCUACACUCAUAAAAAUUUUGACUUUUUCUUCAUUUAUACCCAUGAGGUCUUUCCCCUGUAUACAGCCUUCUUCAUAUUUAUUUAUAUUGUAAUCAAGCUUUUCUGAUUGACUUAGACAAUCAACAAUAGUGACAAUUGCAAAAAUAAAGACUGAUAGAUACAUAGCCAUUUCAGUGGCAUCAUGUAAACACAGUCCGGGUGUUCAGAAAUAUUUACUGGGUCAGAGAAGUUCUGUAAUUAAGAAAGUUCAUUAAACAGUAAAUUUUUCUUCCUUAAAUUUUUGUUUCCCUUGUAAACAUUGUAUUUUACAAUAGUAAUGAAGAAGUCCAGUUCAUGCAACAUUCUGAGAUAGAUGAAAAAAACUAAUGCAGUUAUGAUGCAGGAAAUGCAGGAAACUAAUGCAGGAAAGAUAGAUUAGAUGUACCUUACCCCAUUCUUUCCUCUAAAUACAUUAAAAACUUGGCAUAUGUCAAAAACAAACAUAAGAUGACUCUGAAAGAAGGGAAAAUAAGAGCAACCGGCUAGGAACCUAAGGACCUGAGGAACAACAUGGCUCUGCAUUCCCUGGGUUUUCCUUUUCCUUCAUAAAUUAGGCCAGUCUGAGAAGAUGGCAACUGGGAAAUGGCAAUAGGCAUAGAGAAAAAACAACACAAAACAAAACAAAAAGCAAAAUGAAACAAAACCUUGCCAAAAAAAAAAAAAAAAAA
rnacentral:lncRNA from 1 species